rnacentral:lncRNA from 1 species
UAGUGAAGUCAUUUCACCCUGACAGACUUCACGGUGCGUGAACACAAAUCAGAGCAACAUCGGGAAGCGGCAGCAGAAGUAUAACAUGUAGCUCAAGCUUCUAACGCAAUGCAUGCUCUGCUGGCCACUAUUGCGGUGACACUGCUUCUGUGCACAUCUUUUGUGCACUGCGCUUCUGCGACCUCUGCAGAAGUUCUUCCACUUCCAAACCCAGGAAAUGCUUUCACUUUUGACCAUUCUCUCCAGGUGGGCCGUGGACGACGUCUGAUGUACAGAUGUAGAAAUUCAAAUUCAGUCUUCAUUUGCCAGAAGAAGUCCUACCGUAGAGUUGCAGUACCAUGCUGCUCAUAUAAACAUCAAAGUAAUACCUAGGACAGUGAUGAGGCAAAGAAUUUGGAAGAUAACAAUACGAGGCGCAGGGUCUGGCGGACAAGUUGAAGGAAGCUUUGUUGGAGCUGCAACACAAGAAACUGAAACAGGUACGUCAGUCCUCGUCACAAUGUUAUUAAGAUAUCUGAUAGCGAGUUCAUCAGAUAGACUGUACAGGAGCAGCAGGUGAAGUGCAGUAUUCCCAUCAGGGCACUCAAUAUGUGAAGGUGGCAUAGGUGGUAUCAAUAUGCAAUAAAUCUUUUCCAAUCGUUUUUGUAGACUCUGUUGGACCCAUAUGUCCAUUGUCCUGUGCUCACACUUUGACACAAACUGUUGUUUACGGCUUGGUCUGCUUGCAAACAAACAUUAAGUCAGGACAGUGAAGGAAAACUUGCUAUUGUGCUCAGGUGACCACAACACCUUCACCAGAAUGGACAACUCCAGCAGCUGCGCUUGAGACAUCCACCCCUGCACCCUCAACCCCGCCGCCAAGCACCCCUGCAACCCUAAGCACAACCGCGCUACCCCUGCC